AGGAAACUGCUGUUUUAUCUUUCUGUUUCUGGGUUUGACCAUUUCGAUUUCACAGAUUCUGAAAAUGUUUUCCUGCCAAGGGCCAGCUGAAGCAAGCACUCAGGCAUGAGGAUAGCUGCAGGUCCAUUUUGCUGGUCCCUUGAAAGAAUAAGCUCUGUGAUCUAGGGAGAGUAUUGCUUCUCAGUGAAUUGAAAAGAUGGCAGAAGAAAAGGAAUGACUGGUCCAAGAGUGAAAGCAGGUUUUCAGGUUCCUUUCAGUUGAGUCCAGUUUGCUCACUUCCCAGACUGCUGAGCUGACAGCCUUUUCUCGAGUAGAAUCACUCUCACCAGGGUGGAAAGCCAAUUGCCAAACUGUAAGCAGUUCUCUGGAGAGGACCACAUGGUGAUGAACAAAGCUUUGUGACAAUGCCAGCUGGAUUAACUAGGAAGCAGACCUCCAGGCCCCAACAGACCUUCAGAUGAGACUGCAAUCCUGGGUGGUAACGUGCCCACAGCCUCAAGAAGGACUGUAAGGAAGGAACGCCGGCCUGCACUGCUCCUGGACUUCCUGCUCCCAGCAGUAUGAAGUCAUAAAUCUUUGUGGUUUAUAGGUGCUAUGCUAAAUUUUGAGGUAAUGUGUCCCAUAGUAAUAGUUAAUUGCCAUUUUGGGUAUUAUGCUCUUGUAGAAGGUUACUUUUCUGUGUUCACUGCUGUCUCUCUAGUGCCUGGAAAUCUGCCUGGAUUCUGGUAGGUGCUCAGUAAGUCUGUGGAGAUUUACUGUAAUGGUUUGAAUGUAGAGUCCCAGUGUUUCAUCGUAUGUGGGAAAUCCUCGGGACAGAAAGGACUAUCCUUUUUUCUCUUCUUAUCUAACUGGUUGGGAAUUUCUUAAGUGGUAUACUCUACAGCUAACACCAUAACCCCAUGAGACUCAGCAGAGGGUAGGGACAAAGCAAACACAGAGACCAAAGAAGCCCGCAGACAAUGAGAAGACUGAACUAACUGGGUUGGGGACAAAACAAAAGAAAGCCAAAUGCCUAAGUGUCCUGGAUUGUAGCUUUUCAUGGCCACUGAUUUCAGUCCUGCCUACCCAACAGAACCAUGUUGUACGGGGCAGAGCUGGUUAUUGCAGUUGUGUGUAUACUUCAAAUCUCCCCCUCUGUUUGGCUUUGAACAGUUAGCCCUGGGAUUCUGUCAACAACAUCCCUUCUAAACCAGCUCUGCCAAUAGUGGGCGCUAGAAAAGACAUAAAAGAUGUGAAAAAGAGUCCUUGUUUCAUUCUAUUUUCUUUCUGCUCCUGUCACUGUUAGGCUGGCAGUGGCUUUUCACCUUAGGGAUCCGAUAGUAGCAGCUGGUUCUAGUUCUUGGUUUUGUUACAAUCCCAGAAUCAGCUGUAUCUGAAAUACAAAAGCUAUCCCGUGUGUGUCUCCUCCUCUAGAGCCUGGACCUCUACAGCCCUGUGCAGUUCCUCCUCUGAUCGCAAAACUAGCAAGAGCAGGUGGCACUUCCCUAGAAGAUUGGACCUCAAGUCUGCAGGGCCCUCUUCCCAGCUUAAGUUUACUGGUAGGGUAAACCAAGGCAUGACCAAGACCACCAGAGCAGGCAAGAAUGAAGCAACAAGUGAGGUUUUAUUUUCAGCCUGGGUGCAGGCUAGUCAAGGGCAACGAAGCCAUUGACUCUGGG
ensembl:lncRNA